rnacentral:rRNA from 1 species
UACGGAGGGUGCAAGCGUUAAUCGGAAUUACUGGGCGUAAAGCGUGCGUAGGUGGUGAGUUAAGUCUGAUGUGAAAUCCCCGGGCUCAACCUGGGAAUGGCAUUGGAUACUGGCUCGCUAGAGUGCGGUAGAGGGUGGUGGAAUUCCCGGUGUAGCAGUGAAAUGCGUAGAGAUCGGGAGGAACAUCUGUGGCGAAGGCGGCCACCUGGACCAACACUGACACUGAGGCACGAAAGCGUGGGGAGCAAACAGG